AGCUAGUGGAAACCCAGGCAGUGACAGGCAGGUAAAAUCACUGGCGGUAAUAUAGAACAGUGCCCUGAUUGGCUGAUACGCAAUCCCUCUCCAUCCCUAUGGAUGCUUGCUGCUGUUCAUUGUAUUGAUAAACUGCUUGCUUAUUCACUCGCAUCCAGCAUCUUCGCUUUGGCUGGAGAAAUAGUAGGCUAAAUUAAUUCAGUAUUGGCGUUAUCAUAGCGAAUAAGAGAGGAGGAAAGCAAACAACAUGACCAUCAGAAAUGUACGGGAUCAUGGACAGAGGUUCCGACCGAGGAUGGCAUGUCUCAAAAAGGUGGAGGCUGUGAUGCUGGAGAUGCAGGAUCCAAAGACUGGAGUUAAGUCACAACCCCAGAAACUGGUUAUCACUACUAUACCUCACGCUAUCACAGGUGAGGAUGUCGUGACAUGGCUAGCCAACCGUUACACUAUAGAGGCAGAAGAAGCGUGGGCUCUGGGCACCAUGUUGGUGGCGUUUGGGUACAUCUAUCCCCUCCAGGAUCAUAAACGACUAGUCAUCAAACCAGACACAGCCCUCUACCGCUUUCAGACACCAUACUUUUGGCCGGCCCAGCAGUGGCCUGUAGAGGACACAGACUAUGCAAUCUACCUGGCCAAGAGAAACAUCCGCAAGAAAGGAGUUCUAGAGAUGCAUGAACAGGAGCAGUAUAACGGCCUUCACAAGUGGAUGAACCAUAAAUGGGACUUCAUUGUGAUGCAGGCUAAAGAACAGUACAGGGCGGGGAAGGAGAGGAAGAAGCCUGAUCGUGCGGUAUUUGACUGCCAGGAGAGAGCCUACUGGGUUGUACACAGACCUCCGCCAGGGACCGUCAGUGCAAUGGACUACGGACUAGAACGCAUGGUAGACCCCAACGCAGAGGAGAAAGAAACUUCAGACUUCUUCAGAAGAAUUAUGAUUUUUACCCAGCAGUCCAUCAUGAGGCCGAGGGUCAAGUCGUCUGUCUCUAUCGGAGCUCUGGUGAAAUACUCUGUCACCUGUAAUAAGCACGACCCUUUCCUAGCCCCCUGUCUCCCUAGCAACCCCUGGGUCACCGAUGAUGUCACCUACUGGUUGCUCAACAUGGCCAAUGUGGAUGUUCCUACUAAGAUGCGUGUGGAGAGGUGGACGUUCAGUUUCGGGGAGCUGCUCUCUGACCCUCGAGGCAGAGAUGACUUCAGACUCUUCCUCAAGAAGGAGUUCAGCGGUGAGAACCUGGCAUUCUGGGAGGCAUGUGAGGAUCUUAAGUGGGGAACGGCUGCUACCAUGAACGAGAAGGCCCAGCAGGUCUACAAGACUUUCUUGGCACGUGGCGCCCCCCGGUGGAUCAACAUUGACGGGAAGACCAUGGAGGUGACAGUUAAAGGGUUGAAACACCCUCACAGAUACGUACUGGAUGCAGCUCAGACACACAUCUUCAUGCUGAUGAAGAAGGACUCUUAUGGGCGGUACCUGAAGUCUCCAGUGUUUAAGGACACUCAGAAGAGGGCCAUCGGUCCUGAUCAACACAGGUUCAGUGUGUCCCAGUUGGAGGCCAAUGCCAGGAAGCGUCGUCCCAGCAUCAGUCCCAUCAUCGUCCGCCAGCAGGAGAAGGAGGAGAGAGCCAGGAUGGCCACCAGUGGCCCUGUGGACAUCACACAGGUCAUGAGUAAACUCAGCAACAAGGGCAAGGAGGUGCCCCCACCCAAAAAAUAGACCACAGACAUACUCACAUGCAUUGACAUAAAUACACACACUUCUAGAAGCACAACUACACACACAUAGGCUACACACCCAAUGAAAAUGUUGCUAUCUUAAAAAAUAGUUUGGAGGACAGCAGCGCUGACGAUUUGUGAAGAUUUGAAAUUAAAAUGUGCAAUUUAGAAUUUCUAUGAACUGUAUACUAGAAGAACCGUAGUCUGACUGUCCACAGACCGUUACAUGUAAAGUUAGUAAGUGUUUUCUGUUCACAUUAUUGUAGAAAAUCAUAGUAAAUGUCACAGGUGAUAGUGUUAUAGUCUUGAUGGUAUGUUCACCUGCGUCUCACCAGUACCUGCGUCUCUCACCUCUCUUUCAAUGUCAUUCAGCUUCAUAUUCCACCUAUAGGGACAUAUCUGUGUUUUGUUCCACCAAUAGAGUGCCUCUUAUGUCCCUCAGACAUUGUGUGUACAUAAACCCCGGUAAACAAUGCCAAUAGCAGUGUUCUCUCAUUCAAAUAAAUUGUGUUUUAACUGAAAAUUCCCGUUUUGGCAUGUCACAAGUCAUGUUUGUCCAACUUCUAGGAAGAUUUUAACCCCAAGAUCAUCCCAAAGUUUUCGCCAUCAGUCCUAGUUCUUUUGUGGCUCAGGGAAAGAUCUUAUUUAAUGUGAUUCAUUUCAUUUACAUUUGAAGGGCUUAUUUCCAAAAUGCUAUACCCACCAAUUUUUCACAAUUUGCGUUUUUGUUUAAUCAGAAAUGGUUGCUUAUGGGAGCCCUCCUGUGUGUACAAUAUUACUGUUCUAAGUUGUUUAAUUAAUCCAAUUUUUUUUUAAAGAAGUUUUGCCAUACGGUAUAAAUCCAUUAUUUAGCUGGAAUGAAAUGUUCGUAUUCUGUAUUUGACUGUGAUAGGUGGUUGUCUCACCUAGAUAUCUUAAGAUAAAUUGAGUAACUGUCAAUUGCUCUAAAUAUGAGCUUCUGCUAAAUAACUAAAAUGUCAAAUGUUUUACAUACAGACCUCAUAUUACUACAUUGAAUAAUUUUUUUUCAUUUGACUGUGUAAAACCUAGCAGUACUACUGAUUUCUCUGAGAGUGAGGCGGAUAUAUAUUAUUACUGUGUAAAACCUAGCAGUACUACUGAUUUCUCUGAGAGUGAGGCGGAUAUAUAUUAUUACUGUGUAAAACCUAGCAGUACUACUGAUUUCUCUGAGAGUGAGGCGGAUAUAUAUUAUUACUGUGUAAAACCUAGCAGUACUACUGAUUUCUCUGAGAGUGAGGCGGAUAUAUAUUAUUACUGUGUAAAACCUAGCAGUACUACUGAUUUCUCUGAGAGUGAGGCGGAUAUAUAUUAUUACUGUGUAAAACCUAGCAGUACUACUGAUUUCUCUGAGAGUGAGGCGGAUAUAUAUUAUUACUGUGUAAAACCUAGCAGUACUACUGAUUUCUCUGAGAGUGAGGCGGAUAUAUAGCAUUUGGCAAAAAACAUGAUUAUUUGUCUCUGAAAUGAAACCAUCAAGUGACAGAUGAUUUUAAAAAAUUAAAAAAGACAUGUCUGUCAUUGAACAACCCCAUGCCAUGAUUAGAUGGUGUGUUUUUCCACUAAUCUCAUUCAUAAGUUCUUCAAAUAAUAAAAGCAAAUUUACCAACAUUUCUGUUAUGGAUAUAUAUAUAUAUAUAUAUAGCAUUUUGGAAAUAAACUCUUAAUUUGUCCCUCAGGGUUAACCCUGUAACGUGAACUCAACUCUUGUGUUAAUAUGUUAACACUAUUCCCUUUUUGAAGAAACAUUGAACAUUUAAUAGCAGUUGAGAUGGCUCUACUUUUUCUGGCCAUUUUCUGGUGUUUUGUGGUGGAAAACUGAGAACAUUGAGCAUAACACGUCAACCCUGUUACCUAUUGAUACACUACAUGACAAAAAGUAUGUGGACACCUCGUUGAACAUCUCAUUCCAAAGUCAUGGCCAUUAAUAUGGAGUUGGUCCCCCCCGUUGCUGCUAUAACAGCCUCCACUCUUCUGGGAAGGCUUUCCACUAGAUGUUGGAACAUUGCUGUGGGUUCGGUGCAGGCCAGGGCUCGGUGCAGGCCAGUCAAGUUCUUCCACGCCAAUCUCGACAAACCAUUUCUGUAUGGACCUCGGCUCUGUGCACGGGGGCAUUGUCAUGCUGAAACAGGAAAGGGCCCCAAACUGUUGCCACAAAGUUGGAACCACAGAAUUCUUUAGAAUGUCAUUGUAUGCUGUGGUGUUAUGAUGACAGGGGACGCAGCUCUGUUGCAUCCUGCAGUGUGUGUGACGUUUGGUGUGGUUUGUGUUUGGGUGGCGUUCUUUGAUGUUUUUAAUUAGACCCAAGCCACCCCCUGCACCUGGACUUUGAACUACUCCCCUCUGGGCGCAGGUAUAGGGCACCCCUCAGAAGGAAAAACAGAACUAGACAAUCAUUUGUGCCAGGUGUGAUUUCCCUCCUAAAUAGCUUGGGCUAAUGUUCCUAUCAACUCAGUAAGGCCAGCAGACUAGUCUUUAUAUAUAUAUAUAUAUAGUCUUAAAUAUGUUUUAUUAGUAUGUAACUGUUAUGAAAGUUGUAUUGUCAAUUUUGUUUUGUAUUUAAACGCCACUUUAAACGUGUCCAUGGCAACAACAUGUCUCCAUUGGGACAAUGAAGUCAGUAAGUGUUAAGAUUUCCCUUCACUGGAACUAAGGGGCCUUAACCAUUAUUCCUCAUUCACCAAACUUUACAGUUGGCACUAUGUAUUCGGGCAGGAAGCGUUCUUCUGGCAUCUGCCAAACCCAGAUUAGUCCGUUGGACUGCCAGAUGGUGAAGCGUGAUUCAUCACUCCAGAGAGCGUGUUUUCACUGGUCCAGAGUCCAAUUGCGGCAACCUUUACACCACUCCAGCUGGCGUUUGGCAUUGUGAAUGGUGAUCUUAGGCUUGUGUGCGGCUGUUUGACCAUGGAAACCCAUUUCAUGAAGCUCCUGAAGAACAGUUCUUGUGCUGACGUUGCUUCCAGAGGCAGUUUAGAACUCAGUAGUGAGUGUUGCAACCGAGGACAGACUAUUUUUUACGCGCUUCAAUACUCGGUGGUCCCAUUCUGUGAGCUUGUGUGGCCUACCACUUCGUGGCUGAGCCGUUGUUGCUCCUAGACAUUUCCCAGUUCACAAUAACAGCACUUACAGUUGACCAGGGCAGCUCUAGCUGGGCAGAAAUUUGAUGAACUGACUUAUUGGAAAGGUGGUAUCCUAUGACGGUGCCACGUUAAAAGUCACUGAGCUCUUCAGUAAGGCCAUUCUCCUGCCAAUCUUUGUCUAUGGAGAUUGCAUGGCAUGCUCGAUUUUUAUACACCUCUCGGCAACAGGUGUGGCUGAAUUAGCCAAAUCCACUAAUUUGAAGGGGUGUCCACAUACUUUUGUAUAUAUAUUGUAGAUAGGCUAGAAAUGUUUAAAAAAUAUUCUAUUUUUUGUGAUUGUUCCUCCCGGUUGCACACAGCAAGCGUCCAUUCCCCCUGUAACAAUGGGAGUUAUGGCUGAUUUAAGAUUAAAUCGUCAACCCGGUUACAGUCAACCCUGUUACAGUCAACCCUGUGUGCUAUUAAUGAUAGAAUGUUCAAAUUUGGUGGAAUAAAAUGAAGAAGAAGAAAAGCCAGUCCCCUAAAGGCAGUCUAUUUGUGGAAUGGCACAUAUGUUGUAUGUCAUAACUGUAACCUACAUGUCUGCACCAUCUAUACAAUAAAGCAUCAAUUACCAGCCAUAUCUGUCUGUCAUGUCAUCUUCAUUGUGUCAUCCAGUCACUGUGCCCAUCACUGUCCAUAAUGCCAUAACAGAACUCACAGAUAACUCAGUCAUUCCUGUCACAGGGCCAGACCAAUUCAUGCUACACUUCAUCUACAGUUUACCAGUGUUCAGCGUUUAUUCAUCAUUUUUACCACUCCAUCCCUGUGUGCGAUGUAUUAGUAUGACCUCUCAGUGAUCUUUCCCACCCCUGACCCUAUAUCUGACCUUUAACCCCUACAGCUGUGUCGCUUUACAGCACCCGUCCCCCACCUCGCGGUCUACUCCGGCCCCCCCUCCUCCUCCCCGGCCUCACCCCCUUUCCCCUUCCGUCUCCCCCACACCCCCACCUGCCCUUCACCCAUCAGCGUAACCAUAGACAGCACCCCCGCCUCAGAACGCAGGUGGGAGGAAGGAAGAGGAGGUGGGCUGGAGGGGGGAGAGACGGGCCCUGAGUGCUGGGGGACAGCUGUCUCUUCUCGUUCCCGUAUGGCUCUCUCAUUGGGCCGUCUGUUGAGGCGGGGCUGUACUUCCUCCACGGUAUUCGCCAACCUGUCACCCAAAUGUCCUGCCCCCGCCGGGACCAGCAGCCGCGUUCAGCCUAUCAGCACGGAGCAGCCCAGCCAAGCCCCGCCCAGACGCAUUGCCAAUUUUUUCCAGAUAAAGGUGGACAUCCCUCCAGAGUGUCGCAUCUACCCCAUCGACUCCGAGGAUGAGGAGGAGAGUGGGGGGGCGUCGAGAAGGGUUGGAGGAGGAGGAGGGCAGGUGAAGGAGAUCAUCUGUCCCUGGGAGAGUGUGACACCUCAUGAGGGGGCUGGGUAACAAACACACACAUUCACCGAAGCGAAUGCACAACACACACAGAGAUGGACACACACGGACACAGCUGAAUCCUUACCGUAAUCCUUAAUUUAACCAAACUGAUCGCUCUCUCGCACCUACCAGGUGAUGGUCAUUCAAUUCAUACAUCAAUGCUCUGGACAUUCAGAAGUAGCAGAAGCUAGUCAAAGCUAGCUGAACGUUGCCCACUGACAUCAACCCAGCUUUUGAUUAUAUGAGUCUACUGGGAGUUUGCACAACACCUCUCAGCAAUGUACGUAUUUAUAUAUAUAUUCUAGUGAGUUAAACUCUGUUUAGUUUUCUGACGUUAGGUCUACAGUGUGUCUCCACCAUGCUGCUGCUCUGUAGAGUUUUGCGUGAGGCUUCUCUGCUGUUUUAUGUAGCUUUGUAGUACUCUAGUCCAGGACUCGGACUUGACUCGACCAGUGGUGACUUGGGACUUGGACUCGGACUUGACUCGGACUCGACCAUUGGUGACUCGGACUUGACUCGGACACAGGUCACGAUUUUCAUGGCUCGUGACUCGACUUGGACUCGACCAGUGGUGACUCAGACUUGGACUCGACCAGUGGUGACUCAGACUUGGACUCGACCAGUGGUGACUCAGACUUGGACUCGACCAGUGGUGACUCAGACUUGGACUCGACCAGUGGUGACUCAGACUUGGACUCGACCAGUGGUGACUCAGACUUGGACACGACCAGUGGUGACUCAGACUUGAACUUGACCAGUGGUAACUUUGUUGUCAGACAAUCUCUCUCUUCUGCAUAAUUCAACAUAGAUUUUAGAUAACUGUAUUGUCUAUUUAAUAGCCUUACAAUGUGCCACACUGUAAUGAAAUUAAACUUUAAAAUGUUUGAACAGCAACGUUUAACACUAUCAAGUGACUUGGACACAAGGUUUACUGACUUGCCUAAAUCACGUUUCAUACAGACCCCUGUUGGGUAGCCUUUGUCUUUAUCUUUAGGGGUUAAGUGAUGUUUUUCCAUAGUGUCUUUCCUAAUGGACAGUGCAGUGAGUUAACUAACAGAAUGUAUUUUACCCUCUACUUGUAAUGUGUUUACAGAGACCAGAAUGUGACACGUGAACAGUAUUGUAUGAUUUCUUGUGUAAGUGCCUCAAUAAAUGACUAAACAUGACUGUAA